rfam:Oryza nivara chromosome 4, whole genome shotgun sequence.
CAAAAACGAACCGUAUAACAUUUGACCGUCCUAUUUGACUAAAAAAUUAUGAUUAGUAUUUUCUAUUGUUAUUAGAUAAUAAAAUAUAAAUAGUAUUUUAUGUGUGACUAUUUUUUAUUUUUUUCAUAUUUUUUAAUAAGGCGGAUGGUCCAACUUUAUACACGGAAACCCACAACUACACUUAAA